UCUAUUUUGUGUUCUUGGCCGAAAUUGUGUUAUUGUUGUGUCUUGACCGUGAUUUUUACUUGUUUUGUUGUUUCUAGUGUUAGUUUUCUUCAUCUCUAACACUCUUGAGUCUAAAUCUAAGUUUGAGCUUACAUUGUUGGUGUUGUUUUCGUGAACAUAGGGCUUGGCCGAAUUGUUGCUGAAACAUUGUUGUGGUGGACUGUUUUGGCCUUGUGAUCUUUAUCUUGUUGUUGUU
rnacentral:lncRNA from 1 species